GGGCGCGUAGCUCAGCGGGAGAGCACUGCCUUCACACGGCAGGGGUCGCUGGUUCGAUCCCAGCCGCGCCCACCA
rnacentral:tRNA from 1 species